AUUGAGACUUGAGAGCAUGGUGGAUAACCAAAUGAUCUAUCUCUAACUCCUUAAAAAUCCUAAGCUCAUUAGGCUCCACGUUAAACGGUGACCGUCACCCACUCACAAAAUUGCUCUGUUUCACUUUUCCUCGAAGGAGAGAAAAACAAGAAUUUUUCCAACAAAAUAAAGAAAUUUUUAAAUUAGAAAACAAUCUUCCCGGAAAGAAAAUCCUGAGAGACUUUUUUUUUCUUUUUUCUCAUAACCCUAAUAUUGUUUCCCACCACCCACGACUCUCUUCUCCACCACCUUCCUUCUCUUCCAGAAGUUUAACAGAAGAUCGAUUUGAUUAAUUUGAUCAACUGGGUUUUUUUAUGUGUAGGUAAUAAGUUUCUCUGUUUUCCUAUUUUUCAUAGAAAAAUCUCUGCGAAAAAUCUCACAUCUUCUUCUUCUUCCAUUAUUUGGCAAUCCCACAUAUAUCCAGUAUCAUCAACAACAUCAGGAUUGUUGUGUACAAAGCACUCCACACAUUUGGAAGUUAUAUGUCUGAUGUCAUGGCUGCAGUUGACCAGUUAAUUUGGUCAAAAAAAUUCGGAAAUUUGAUUUAUCUUAGCUAUGAUUUACAAAACUAAUUGAUGCUUCUGAAAAAGAUUUAUGUUUCUGAACAAUAACUUCCUCUUUGCAUGUUAGUAAAGUAUGUACUUGUAUUUGCUACUCGGAAUUAAUUUAUUGAGCCUCCAAUAAUUUUCAAAUUUUAUCAAUCACAGUAAGCUAUCCAACAGUUCUACCCAAAUCACUGUUCAUCCUGAAUUCAUAGGUUGUCUAUCAUUAUGAUUGUUGGCGGUUUUGAAAAAGCUUCCAAGAUAACCAAUAUUGUUCAUAUGCAUGUGAAGUAUAGAUGUUACCUGUUACAGAUACUUGAUUAGUAAUCCAUAUUCAUACAAAGUUUGUCUGUCGUCAAUAAUGGAACUAUAUUCUUUCCUUUUUGAGUAACGGCUAAGCAUUCAUUCCAUAUUACUACUGAUUGUUUCUAUUACUGUUAUAUCCUUAUAACCUUGCUUUAAUCUCAAAACCGUGUUCGCGUCUUCUUACAUAAUUCUAUGUAUUAGUUUUAUCUGUGGUUUCAGGUGAUAAAUUUUGUUACGAGUUGGAAUUCAAUUGGAAUCGAAUAUUGCUACAAUGGCCAAAAGCCUUUGCCUGCACCUUUCUUAGAAAUUGCAAAGCAGUCUCCAUGGGUUGGUACAAAGAUAGUGAUGAUGUUCUGUGGAGACCCACUAAUUCCUAUCAUUGUUACUCCUCUGGGCCAUGUAGACCCAGUUAGUAAUUUCAGUACAUUGGUAGUAUUAUGAGUUAUAUAUUCAACUGGAACAUGGUAUGAGUACACCAAUCUGUACAGGGAUCAAUCUUAUAAUGGUUGGAAUGGUUUGGGUGAACUGUUUCAAGGGCGCCUUGACGAUGAAACCAUUAGGAGUGUUAAAUAAUGCAAUGCUGGUGAAGACUGUACUGAGAGAGGUCUUCAAACACGGUACUGAGGACGUAAUGGUUAAGUGAUGCUCUAACUUUUUCUUUUUGAUCAUAAUUUUCACAUUCUCCAUUUUCCUGUCUUGCCGUCUCUAUGUUUUCUACAAUUCUGUUUUUCUCAUUUUCUGCAGCCGUUGCUUCUUCUUUCUGCCUGUAACGUGAUUACUUUGUAAAUUUUCUGCAUAAUACUGUAAAAUUCGUGGCAACUAUUUAAUUUUUUCACUGUUUAAUCCGGGGUAUGGAAUGUUUUAAAUGUCUAUGUAAUAUAUUUGAUUGGUAGCAAAUUUAUUA